rnacentral:rRNA from 1 species
GAUGAACGCUGGCGGCGUGCCUAAUACAUGCAAGUCGAGCGAACGGACGAGAAGCUUGCUUCUCUGAUGUUAGCGGCGGACGGGUGAGUAACACGUGGAUAACCUACCUAUAAGACUGGGAUAACUUCGGGAAACCGUAGCUAAUACCGGAUAAUAUUUUGAACCGCAUGGUUCAAAAGUGAAAGACGGUCUUGCUGUCACUUAUAGAUGGAUCCGCGCUGCAUUAGCUAGUUGGUAAGGUAACGGCUUACCAAGGCAACGAUGCAUAGCCGACCUGAGAGGGUGAUCGGCCACACUGGAACUGAGACACGGUCCAGGAUCCUACGGGAGGCAGCAGUAGGGAAUCUUCCGCAAUGGGCGAAAGCCUGACGGAGCAACGCCGCGUGAGUGAUGAAGGUCUUCGGGUCGUAAAACUCUGUUAUUAGGGAAGAACAUAUGUGUAAGUAACUGUGCACAUCUUGACGGUACCUAAUCAGAAAGCCACGGCUAACUACGUG